rnacentral:tmRNA from 1 species
GGGGAUGAGUUAAUACUGGGAUCGACUGGUAGAAAUAUUCAGGACGCGGGUUCGAAUCCCGCCAUCUCCACAU